rnacentral:snoRNA from 1 species
UUGCCCAAUGAUUAUAGCAAGACGCGUUAUUAUGAGGACUAAUGCUGGAACUCUUUCUCCUCCUCCUCCUCCUCCUUCUUUGUCCCUUCCUCUUUCACCUUUUACCCCCCUCACUUUCUAUAGGGUAUCCAGCGUCCUAUGAGCAAGACUGAGAUAUGAGGGCAA